UAUACCUAUUAAUUUUAUAAUGCUGUUAAAAAAUGAUAAAAAAAAAUUUAUUUAAAUUUCGUGAUGAAUUAUUUUUUUAAUUUUAUUGUUCAUAUGUUAUUUGUAACAAAUAUUCUUUUGAAAAAAAAAAAUAAUGAAUUUCAUUAAAUUUCAUCACAUAUCCUUUGUAAUAUUUGUACCCAAUUUCACAGAAGAUACUGCAAAUACGAUGCAAAUCGUAUUACUAUAACGCAAUUUUCAGUUUUAGAGAACACUAAUAUAAUAUAUUUCAGAGAACGGCCUUCAUCUUUCAUCAGUCAUUUUUCUAACAUGUCUGUCGGUCGCCGAACGGAAUACAUACGUAUAUUGUCACGCCGUCACGCCGAAGGUCGAGCGCCAGUGAUCACACCUUCGACGAAGCACUGCACGUCGUCGAAAUACGAGUCAUUUUUACAGCCGAGAUUUACGGGCCUUUUAUAUUGGCGGUGUGUUAUGAUGUCACACGAUCAGAGACGAGAAGAAUACUGAAAUCAAAUAAUGGAUUUUUUCAGGACGCCGCAAUAUAAUAUCAUCGUCAUAUUAUAGUGACACAGUGUCAUACGCACACAUAUUUAAAAUGUACAACGUACAAGUAUUAUUAUAUUGAACGGGCUUGAAUUCAUGACGCACGUGGAUUGUAGAUCGCGAUUUAUAUGGACUGCGUGGGAUCAUACUUUGAUAUAGGCUGCCAAGUGACAACAUUAUUAGAAAAAAAAUAGUCAAUACCACUAGCGAAGCGUCAUACGAGACAAUGAGGUAAUGUCUACCCACUUAAAUACAGACAAAUCAAAUUUGGUUUUAUUGUAUUUAAAUAAAAUAUUUUUU